rnacentral:tRNA from 1 species
GGGGGAUUAGCUCAGUUGGCUAGAGCGCUUGCCUUGCACGCAAGAGGUCAUCGGUUCGACUCCGAUAUUCUCCACUA